rnacentral:rRNA from 1 species
GAAAGUAGGAAAGGGCGCAUGGCGGAUGCCUUGGCUCUCGGAGGCGAUGAAGGACGUGAUAAGCUGCGAUAAGUCACGGGGAGGUGCAAAUAACCUUUGAUCCGUGAAUUUCCGAAUGGGACAACCCGAUAUCCUGAAGGGAUAUCACCUCAUCCAGUUGAGGAGCUAACGCAGGGAACUGAAACAUCUUAGUACCUGCAGGAAAAGAAAAUAACAAUGAUUCCCCCAGUAGUGGCGAGCGAACGGGGAA